rnacentral:rRNA from 1 species
UACGUAGGGGGCAAGCGUUAUCCGGAAUUAUUGGGCGUAAAGAGCUCGUAGGCGGCUAGUCGCGUCGGCUGUGAAAACCUGGGGCUCAACCCCGGGCCUGCAGACGAUACGGGCUAGCUAGAAUUCGGUAGGGGAGACUGGAAUUCCUGGUGUAGCGGUGAAAUGCGCAGAUAUCAGGAGGAACACCGGUGGCGAAGGCGGGUCUCUGGGCCGAUAUUGACGCUGAGGAGCGAAAGCGUGGGGAGCGAACAGG